CCCGCUUCGGGCAAGGCGUCUUCGUCUCUCUCGCUUGAGGCCCCAGGCCCCCAGCUCGAGCUCGCCCAGGUCAGGUCUUCCUCCUUCUCGGAACGGAAUCCCCAACUCAAAAUACUCGCUCUAACCCGGCCCAGAAACCCUAGGACGGGAGCAUGGUCAAGAAGCCCACCGCACCUGCCGACGCCGAGGCCGGCGAGCGCCGCCGUCUCCGCUCGCUCGCCUUCUCCAAUGGACUGCUCCAGCGCGGCGAGCCGGCGGCUCCGCGGUCGGCGCUCGCGCCGUCGGGCGCCGCGGCGAGGCUGCAGGGCCGCGACAUCGUGCGGCGCGGCGGCCAGCGCAAGAGCCGCUUCCUCUUCUCCUUCCCCGGCCUCCUCGCGCCUGCCGCCUCAGCCGGCCGCGUCGGGGAGCUGGCCGAUCUCGGGACCAAGAACCCAGUGCUGUACCUCGAGUUCCCUCAGGGAAGGAUGAAGCUGUUCGGGACGCACGUUUACCCCAAGAACAAGUACCUGACGCUGCAGAUGACAAGGUCGGCCAAGGGCGUCGUCUGUGAGGACGUCUUCGAGAGCCUGAUUGUAUUUUCUGAAGCCUGGUGGGUUGGGACAAAAGAAGAAAACCCAGAAGAACUAAAACUUGAGUUUCCAAAAGAAUUCCAUAAUGUUUCUGAGGGCGCAGCAGCAGAUUGUGAUUUUAGAGGUGGAGCAGGUGCUGCCAUUGAUGAAGCAACUGUCAACAAACCUGGAAAGGAAAAUGAAGAACCCCAUUCCCCGAAAUUUGAAUCUGAUGCUGAUGUUUCUGAAGAUUCAGAUCAUAAGGAUGAGAAUGGCACGCAGACUACGAGUGAAACACCUUCAGUCAGACAAUCUGCUAGGACUGCUGGGAAAGCCUUGAAGUACACAGAGUUAUCUUCUGGAGGAGACUCAUCCGACAGUGACAAUGAGAUUGAGGUACCUGAGGAUUUGGAUGAGAAGAUGACGAGUCCAGGAGUUAAGAAUGAAAGCCAAAGCGAAGACAUCAAACCUGCAGAUUCCACAGCAAGGUCUCUCUCUAGCAAGAAGGAACCACUUGCCCAGGCUACUUUGUCUAGCAUGUUUAAAAAGGCAGAAGAGAAAAAGAUGAACUUCUGUUUCAGAGGUCUACAAGAAGUCCGAAAGGAUCUCCUGCCACAAAAGGUCCUGCUGCUAAAAAGCAGAGAGCAGGUCCAAAGGAAAAACAGCCAGCAGGGAAUAAUAAAGGUAAUUAAACUGUUGUCACAUGCGCCUUAUAUUAGCAGCAGCCAUCUACGCACUUCAGUGUGAUAGCAUUUGGUCUAAGCUUCCAAAAACCUUUCUCAGUGAAUUAGUCUCUUAGCCUGGAACAAGCCAACAACUCUAGGAGGAUUCUUCGUGAAGCUUUCAGCUUCGUUCAUAUAGAGGAUGCUGACCCUUGUACUAGUAUUCUUUUAUGGGACUGACUCUUGUGUUUACAUGAAUGCAGCAACCGGAAUGCGGAAAAAGCAAAAAACAAAGGUAGAAGAAGAUGAGAUUGAAGAGCUCUCAAGUUCAUCUCAGGAUAACGCUGUGGAUGAUGAUGGCGACGAGGACUGGGCUGAGUAACGCGCUUGUAUAUGGGCAUUACAUGAGUUAGUAGUCCAUCAAGAACGUGAAGAAUGUGGAAAUGAUGCAGAGUUGAAAGGAGGGAGGGAUCGAUUGGGGGCACAAAAUCUGCAUUCCUUGGAUGGUAUCGUGAUGUGGUUGCCCUUAGCUGACGACUGAUGUAAAAAGUACAUAACAGCAAUUCAGAUUGUGAACUGGACGAAUUAGUCAGCAUAUGAUAGCAAUGUUUCUGACUUGUUUGUAGUAGGAACACUGCAUUAUUUGAUUGUUUGUGCCUGUCUAUAUGCAAUGGACAUAAGCUCUGCCGCACUGGAGAGUCUGUCCCGAUGGUCCGGACUGGAGGUCGACGAGAAAGAGAUGAAUGAGGCAAUUGUGUUUUGUGUGAAUGAGCUGAUCCCUUUUUCUUUCCUACUUUUCUCCCGUUAAAAAAUGCAUUGGCUGAUCACUGAAAGGAAGAAACAAUGCCAUUUGUCAGUGCAAAAAGGAUGCGCCUUCAAACUGAACAUGACAUAAUUGAACAUUUGCAUUUGUAAACUGAACAUCUGCACCGAGCCGUACAUAUAUUCUUGAAUGAAUGGAAUCCUUUCUUUUUCUUUUGGUUA